GGGUAACCAAAGAUACAGGCCAAUUACCUGUGCUUCAUUUCAUUGAUUACAGGAAGGUCCCCCACCCCUCUUUUUUCUUCCAAAACAUGUUUAAUUUGAUAUUCAGCAACUUAGAGUAAAUGUAAAAAUCGAAAAAAGAAAUACGCUUCGUUGUAAAUUAAGUACAGUGAUAUUAUUGGUAAUCAUUUCUUGGUAUGUUAAAGAAUCUAUAAGCGUUUCAACAUAGACCCUCUUUUCAAAUUCUAAUCAAAUAAAUCACUUCAUUAAAAAAAACUCCAUGUACAUUGACAAACAUUAAAUUAUCAUAAACUUAAACACUGAUCCUCCAAUAGAUCAUGUUGUUUUUGAUAACCAUAACUAACUUAUCCUUUUUUUAAUCAUGUUUGUCUAUAAGCACAUGCAAUUGCAGACAGUUGAAAUAUAUUAUACAUUAUCUCCAUUAUAAAUAAAUAAAUUAAAUAAUUUUCGUUUCUGGCACAGCACAAUGUUCCAGAUAAUUAGAAAGUUUGCUGCAUACACAAAAAGGAAAAUGCAGUUGCUAAGCGAUGCAGUUAUUGUCAUAUUUGGAUAAUUCAAAUCUCCCUAAUUGUUCUAUGUAAAUUGUCAAGCUGCGUAAGCUAAUGAGAAAAGGAAAAACUUCUAAUCUAGAAACUGUUAAUCAAGUUAGCUGAGAAUGCAGUGGAUUCUUUCUAAAAUAUAUCCCAUUAAGCUACACAAGGUUAAAACAAUUAUUUAUUGUAUCUAAAAUUAAAUAUUAUUUCGACUAAACCCUGAACAAUUUUUUUUUUCAAAGUGCGUUAGUAUCGACGAUAUCAACGCACUUUGAAAAAAAAAUAUUUUUUUUUCAAAGUGCGUUGACUUGGUCCAAAAAUUAACGCACUUUGAAAAAAAAUUUCAAAGUGCGUAAAUUUUCAAAAUGCGUUGUAACACCCCAGCCCCCACCCCAACGCUGCAAACACAAUUAUUACUCUGAAACUGAAUUGUACUUCCGGUACUGGCUGAAUUAAAUAGGGUCAAAUUGUAUGGGAACCGCUCUUUUGAAAAUUUUGUUCAAUUUGAAUAGAUUUAAUUUGAGAUUGUUAUAGAUAAGUUUAGAAAUCUUCGAUUUUAAACUUUUAAUGUAACAGGUUAUCGAUUUAAAAUUUACAAGCUGCUAUGAGCACUUAACUUUGAUUUUUCUCUCCAAUUAACUAUGCAAUUUAGUU
rnacentral:sRNA from 1 species